AGCGAACGCUGGCGGAAUGCCUAACACAUGCAAGUCGCGCGGUUCGGGUUUCGGCCCGGGCAGCGGCGGACGGGUGCGCAACGCGUAGGAACGUGCCCUGGGGUGGGGACAACGCCGGGAAACUGGCGCUAAUACCGCAUGCGGCCUGAGGGCCAAAGCCGCGAGGCGCCCUGGGAGCGGCCUGCGUCCGAUUAGCUUGUUGGGGGGUAACGGCCCACCAAGGCGACGAUCGGUAGCUGGUCUGAGAGGAUGAUCAGCCACACUGGGACUGAGACACGGCCCAGACUCCUACGGGAGGCAGCAGUGGGGAAGUAUUGGACAAUGGGCGAAAGCCUGAUCCAGCAAUGCCGCGUGAGUGAUGAA
rnacentral:rRNA from 1 species